rnacentral:tRNA from 1 species
CAUUAGGUGGCCGAAAUCUUAAGCAUUGGUCUCUUAAACCAAAUCAUAGUAAUUUACUCCUAAUG